UCUGGUAUGAUUAAUAGGGAUAGUUGGGGCAUCGUCUGGUAUGUACUGGUCUCACUGAUUCCUCCUUCCUGAUGAGCCGUAAUGCCAUUAAUUUGGUGUUGCGGGGAAUUUGGACUGUUACUUUGAAAAAAUUAGAGUGUUUAAAGCAAGCUAACGCUUGAAUACAUUAGCAUGGAAUAAUGAAAUAGGACGUUUGAUCCUAUUUUGUUGGUUUCUAGGAUUGACGUA
rnacentral:rRNA from 1 species